rnacentral:tRNA from 1 species
GGCCGGUUAGCUCAGUUGGUUAGAGCGUCGUGCUAAUAACGCGAAUGUCGCGGGUUCGAUCCACGUACUGGCCA